rnacentral:rRNA from 1 species
CGGUAACAUUUCUAGCUUGCUAGAAGAUGACGAGUGGCGGACGGGUGAGUAAUGCUUGGGAACUUGCCUUUGCGAGGGGGAUAACAGUUGGAAACGACUGCUAAUACCGCAUAAUGUCUUCGGACCAAACGGGGCUUAGGCUCCGGCGCAAAGAGAGGCCCAAGUGAGAUUAGCUAGUUGGUAAGGUAACGGCUUACCAAGGCGACGAUCUCUAGCUGUUCUGAGAGGAAGAUCAGCCACACUGGGACUGAGACACGGCCCAGACUCCUACGGGAGGCAGCAGUGGGGAAUAUUGCACAAUGGGGGAAACCCUGAUGCAGCCAUGCCGCGUGUGUGAAGAAGGCCUUCGGGUUGUAAAGCACUUUCAGUUGUGAGGAAAAGUUAGUAGUUAAUACCUGCUAGCCGUGACGUUAACAACAGAAGAAGCAACGGCUAACUCCGUGCCAGCAGCCGCGGUAAUACGGAGGGUGCGAGCGUUAAUCGGAAUUACUGGGCGUAAAGCGCACGCAGGCGGUUUGUUAAGCUAGAUGUGAAAGCCCCGGGCUCAACCUGGGAUGGUCAUUUAGAACUGGCAGACUAGAGUCUUGGAGAGGGGAGUGGAAUUCCAGGUGUAGCGGUGAAAUGCGUAGAUAUCUGGAGGAACAUCAGUGGCGAAGGCGACUCCCUGGCCAAAGACUGACGCUCAUGUGCGAAAGUGUGGGUAGCGAACAGGGUUAGAUACCCUGGUAGUCCACACCGUAAACGCUGUCUACUAGCUGUGUGUGCCUUUAAGGCGUGCGUAGCGAAGCUAACGCGCUAAGUAGACCGCCUGGGGGAGUACGGCCGCAAGGUAAAACUCAAAUGAAUUGACGGGGGCCCGCACAAGCGGUGGAGCAUGUGGUUUAAUUCGAUGCAACGCGAAGAACCUUACCUACACUUGACAUGCUGAGAAGU